UUGUUUUUUCCGAUUACGAACUACGUCGACAAGACUCUCACCAUCAUUCAAAGAAAGCGCUUUCACCUUUGAAUUGAUGGAUCCAGCAGAAGAAGAAAUUGAUUUCUUUACCGCCACCGCUGGCCUCUUUAAUUUUUUGGGAUCAAUAGGAUUUUCUUUGACGAAAAUGACAUCAGUUUGGUCAUCGUCAUCCACAUAUGUUGAUUUCCCUUUCAUUGCUUUUAUCUUCUUUUCUUUGACAUAUUCACGGAUCUCAUUACGAACGAAAGAUGUGGUCUUUGGACAUUUGAUGCAAUUUCUGUCACCACCAAGAAAGUGACCUUUCAUUCGACCGAUUCCACCAGUUGAAAUCCAAUGACAAAAUAGACAUUUGACUCCAUUGGAGUCAGUCUUUUUCAAUAGAAUGGCAUAUUUCCAUGCUGGAUCGCUA
rnacentral:lncRNA from 1 species